rnacentral:tmRNA from 1 species
GGGGGUGUAAUGGAUUCGCUCGCUGGGGAAGUUUAGGAAUUGCAAGCCGAGGUGCCUUACCUCGUAAAACAGGGGCAACGCCAUAACUGGCAACAAGAACUACGCACUCGCUGCCGCUUAAGUAGCGACGUCCGACCUGCCUAAUCCCGGGUGGUAGAAUCGGGCGACACUAAACCGGGGUGCUGCCGCCCUAGCGCCUGGGAAGGGCGGCCUAAGACCAACAGGCUGGCUCAUGAUCACUUCGUCCGUGGAGGGAGAGUGAGCGAGAUCUAAAUCGCGGAAUAAGCUUGUAGUACAUUUCUGGCGGAACCGGUGAUACAGGGGUUCGACUCCCCUCACCUCCACCA